GGAAACGCAUGCCGAUCCGGUGACGGCCCCGGUCUUCAAAACCGGUGAGACUUCGCGCGAGCGUGGGUCUGGAGGGUUCGACUCCCUUUCGUUUCCGCCA
rnacentral:tRNA from 1 species